UACGAAGGGGGCUAGCGUUGCUCGGAAUCACUGGGCGUAAAGCGCACGUAGGCGGAUUGUUAAGUCAGGGGUGAAAUCCUGGAGCUCAACUCCAGAACUGCCUUUGAUACUGGCGAUCUUGAGUCCGGAAGAGGUGAGUGGAACUCCGAGUGUAGAGGUGAAAUUCGUAGAUAUUCGGAAAGAACACCAGUGGCGAAGGCGGACUCACUGGUCCGGUACUGACGCUGAGGUGCGAAAGCGUGGGGAGCAACAGGG
rnacentral:rRNA from 1 species